GAGAGGUGUCCGAGUGGUUUAAGGAGCCGGUCUUGAAAACCGGUGAUCCCGCGAGGGACCGUGGGUUCGAAUCCCACCCUCUCC
rnacentral:tRNA from 1 species